GACGUAGGGGGCGAGCGUUGUCCGGAUUCAUUGGGCGUAAAGCGCGCGCAGGCGGCUCGGAAAGUCGGAUGUGAAAACCCGGGGCUCAACCCCGGGCCUGCAGUCGAUACGGGCAGACUAGAGUGCGGUAGGGGAGACUGGAAUUCCUGGUGUAGCGGUGAAAUGCGCAGAUAUCAGGAGGAACACCGGUGGCGAAGGCGGGUCUCUGGGCAACUACUGACGCUGAGGAGCGAAAGCGUGGGGAGCGAACAGG
rnacentral:rRNA from 1 species